GCCGGCAGCCAUAUCACCCUGUAGCCCAAGACUGGUUGCCCACUGAAGCUAAGCAGGGCUGGUCAGUACCUGGAUGGGAGACCUCCUGGGAAAACUAGGUUGCUGCUGGAA
rnacentral:rRNA from 1 species